UACGUAGGGUGCAAGCGUUAAUCGGAAUUACUGGGCGUAAAGCGUGCGCAGGCGGCUUUGCAAGACAGAUGUGAAAUCCCCGGGCUCAACCUGGGAACUGCAUUUGUGACUGCAUGGCUAGAGUGCGGCAGAGGGGGAUGGAAUUCCGCGUGUAGCAGUGAAAUGCGUAGAUAUGCGGAGGAACACCGAUGGCGAAGGCAAUCCCCUGGGCCUGCACUGACGCUCAUGCACGAAAGCGUGGGGAGCAAACAGGAUGAGAA
rnacentral:rRNA from 1 species